rnacentral:rRNA from 1 species
GACGAACGCUGGCGGCGUGCUUAACACAUGCAAGUCGAGCGGUAAGGCCCUUUCGGGGUACACGAGCGGCGAACGGGUGAGUAACACGUGAGCAACCUGCCCUUCUCUUUGGAAUAAGCGUUGGAAACGACGUCUAAUGCCGAAUAUGACCCCCUGUCGCAUGGUGGGGGGUGGAAAGCUCUGGCGGAGAAGGAUGGGCUCGCGGCCUAUCAGCUUGUUGGUGUGGGUAAUGGCCCACCAAGGCGACGACGGGUAGCCGGCCUGAGAGGGUGACCGGCCACACUGGGACUGAGACACGGCCCAGACUCCUACGGGAGGCAGCAGUGGGGAAUAUUGGACAAUGGGCGAAAGCCUGAUCCAGCAACGCCGCGUGAGGGAUGACGGCCUUCGGGUUGUAAACCUCUUUCAGCAGGGACGAAGCGAGAGUGACGGUACCUGCAGAAGAAGGACCGGCCAACUACGUGCCAGCCGCCGCCGUAAAAC